rnacentral:rRNA from 1 species
UACAGAGGUCUCAACCGUUGUUCGGAUUCAUUGGGCGUAAAGGGUGCGUAGGCGGCGCGGUAAGUCGGGUGUGAAAUCUCGAGGCUUAACCUACCGUAACUGCAUUCGAUACUGCGUGCUUGAGGAGCUGGAGAGGAGACUGGAAUUUACGGUGUAGCGGUGAAAUGCGUAGAUAUCGUAAGGAAGACCAGUGGCGAAGGCGGGUCUCUGGACAGUUCCUGACGCUGAGGCACGAAGGUCAGGGGAGCAAACGGG